rnacentral:rRNA from 1 species
CCUACCAUGGUGGUAACGGGUAACGGGGUGUUAGGGCACGACACCGGAGAGGGAGCCUGAGAAACGGCUACCACAUCCAAGGAUGGCAGCAGGCGCGCAAAUUACCCAAUCCCGACACGGGGAGGUAGUGACAAUAAAUAACAAUACAGGGUUCUUUUGGAUCUCGUAAUUGGAAUGAGUACAAUUUAAAUCUCUUAACGAGGAACAAUUGGAGGGCAAGUCUGGUGCCAGCAGCCGCGGUAAUUCCAGCUCCAAUAGCGUAUAUUAAAGUUGUUGCAGUUAAAAAGCUCGUAGUUGAAUUUCGGGAUCAGUACGCUGGUCGUGCCUUCGGUAUGCACUGGUGUCACUGGUUCCUCCCUUCUGAAGAACUGUCAUGCCAUUCAGUUGGUGUGGCGGGGAAUCAGGACUGUUACUUUGAAAAAAUUAGAGUGUUUAAAGCAGGCUCGCGCUUGAAUACAUUAACAUGAAAUAAUGAAAUAGGAUGUUAAUCCUAUUUUGUUAGUUUCUAAAAUCGACGUAAUGAUUAAUAGGGAUAGUUGGGGGGAUUAGUAUUCAAUUGUCAGAGGUGAAAUUCUUGGAUUUAUUGAAGACUAACUACUGCGAAAGCAUUUGCCAAGGAUGUUUUCAUUAAUCAAGAACGAAAGUUAGGGGAUCGAAGACGAUCAGAUACCGUCGUAGUCUUAACCAUAAACUAUGCCGACUAGGGAUCGGAUGAUGUUAAUUUUUUAAUGACUCAUUC